rnacentral:rRNA from 1 species
AUGAUGGGGCGGGAGGCGGCCAAGAUCCUGCUGUCCGGCAAGGAUGGCGUGGUGAGCCUCAACCUCUUCUACACCGGCAAGCAGGUGCUGGGCCCCACCAGCCUGCUCACCACCAACGGCGAUGAGCACCGGCGGCUGCGCUGGCUCAUCGCGCAGCCCCUCUCCGCGGACGCUUUACGGAAGCACUUCGCCUUCAUCGACGGCCUCGCCGUGCAGAUCCUCGGCUCCAGGGCCAGCCGCGGCCGCGUGCUCGUCCUCGAUGAGGCCUCGCAGUUCAUGCUCAAGGUCAUUGCCAACAUGAUCGUCAGCCUGGAGCCGGAGCGCCCCGAGCAGGAGGAGUUCCGGGUAAACUUCAAGGCCAUCUCCUCCUCCUUCACGUCGCUGCCGCUCAAGCUCCCCGGCACAACCUUCCAUCGCGGCCUCAGCGGUCGGAACCGGAUGUACGCCAUGCUGGACACGGUGAUCGCGUGCCGCAUGGCCGGCGAGGUCCGCGAGGACUUCCUCCAGACGCUCCUCAUGAAGUACACCCGCGGCCAGCAAGCCGGCGCCGCGUCCGACCCAGCGGAGGAGGAGAAGCUGGCCGACGCGCAGCUCAAGGACAACAUCCUGACGCUACUGGUGGUCGGCCACGACACCACCAUGGAGCACAUGGCGAUCCGGGCGGCGCACGACGGCGAUGACACGCAGCACCUGUGGUGGUCGGACCUGAGCAGCAUGCCGUACACGACCAAGGUGAUGAACGAGACGCUGCGGCGGGCCACCAUCAUGCCGUGGUACUCGCGCAAGGCCUCGCAGGACUUCAGCAUCGACGGGUUCCAGGUGGCCAAGGGCGCGUCGGUGAACCUGGACGUGGUGUCCAUCCACCACGACGCCGCCGUCUUCGCCGACCCCGAGCGCUUCGACCCAGACAGAUUCGACGGGUCGCUGAAGCCGUACAGCUUCCAGGGGUUCGGCAGCGGGCCGCGGAUGUGCCCAGGGAUGAGCCUCGCCAAGCUCGAGAUCUGCGUCUUUGCCCAUCACCUAGUCUGCACAUACGACUGGAAGGCACUGGAGGAUGACGCCUCGGUGCAGCCGAUGCUGGUGCGCAUGCCCAAUAACAUGUACCCCAUCCUCGCCACCGCCCUCCCCUGA